CGCCCUUUUACAACACUAUGGGAGGGAAACGACACAGAGAAUCGCAGAGCUGAAUCAGACUUCUACUAAAGGCGCUUCACUGUUCAUUAGUAGGCCGCAGAUGAGAUGCUGUUUGUUUCACAGAAUAGGGAAAGUUAUGUUCUGAUACAAGAAUUGGGAAA